rnacentral:rRNA from 1 species
CGGUGGAUGAUGUGGUUUAAUUCGAUGCAACGCGAAAAACCUUACCCACCUUUGACAUGUACGGAAGGAUCCAGAGAUGGAUUUGUGCUCGAAAGAGAACCGUAACACAGGUGCUGCAUGGCUGUCGUCAGCUCGUGUCGUGAGAUGUUGGGUUAAGUCCCGCAACGAGCGCAACCCUUGUCAUUAGUUGCUACAUUUAGUUGGGCACUCUAAUGAGACUGCCGGUGACAAACCGGAGGAAGGUGGGGAUGACGUCAAGUCCUCAUGGCCCUUAUAGGUGGGGCUACACACGUCAUACAAUGGCUGGUACAAAGGGUUGCCAACCCGCGAGGGGGAGCUAAUCCCAUAAAACCAGUCGUAGUCCGGAUCGCAGUCUGCAACUCGACUGCGUGAAGUCGGAAUCGCUAGUAAUCGUGGAUCAGAAUGUCACGGUGAUACGUUCCCGGGUCUUGUACACACCGCCCGUCACACCAUGGGAGCGGGUUCUGCCAGAAGUAGUUAGCCUAACCGCAAGGAGG